rnacentral:rRNA from 1 species
GACGAACGCUGGCGGCGUGCUUAACACAUGCAAGUCGAACGGAAAGGCCUCUUUCGGGGGGUACUCGAGUGGCGAACGGGUGAGUAACACGUGAGUAACCUGCCCUUGACGUUGGGAUAACUUCAGGAAACUGGGGCUAAUACCGGAUAGGAGCUCCUGCUGCAUGGUGGGGGUUGGAAAGUUUCGGCGGUUGGGGAUGGACUCGCGGCUUAUCAGCUUGUUGGUGGGGUAGUGGGUUACCAAGGCGUUGACGGGUAGCCGGCCUGAGAGGGUGACCGGCCACAUUGGGACUGAGAUACGGCACAGACUCCUACGGGAGGCAGCAGUGGGGAAUAUUGCACAAUGGGUGGAAGCCUGAUGCAGCAACGCCGUGUGCGGGAUGACGGCCUUCGGGUUGUAAAACGCUUUCGCUCAUGACGAAGCUUUGUGUGACGGUAGUGGGUAAAGAAGCACCGGCUAACUACGUG